rnacentral:lncRNA from 1 species
AUCGGAGAUCCCACGAACAAAAAAGAACAGAGCGUCAGGAUUAAGCAGGAUGUCCGCUCUGCACCGCGCCGGCAUCAGUCUAAAUGACAGCAGUGCUCGUGGAGCAAAGCCGCGGAGGUGGGAGCCGGCGGGGCGCUGCGUCGCCCCUGGGGGAGCGGGCUGAGCUGUCUGCCCUUCCUGCCUGCCGGAGCGCUUCCCAGCUCCCUACCCUAUCGCUCUAUGCCCCCAUCCUGCAAUCAACACACACAUCUUGCAGGACCAUUUGCAUCCUAAGAUGGCUACUGAAUGACAUGAAAAAAUAUAUAUAAAUACACAAAUCAGUGAAGUAGUAUGGAAAAGAUUUCAAGUGCUUUAUCAAACACUCAGUUCAGACUGGAGUUUAAACAAACUGUGAUAAAACCAUUUUGUACAAAAAAAGUUCCAUUCACUAAGAUUUCAGAAGUGUUGCUCGUUAUUGUGGCUCUUAGAGGUAUAAAGUUCUGGUUUCAUAUUUAUGAUUUAGAACACUAAACUAAACUUUUCAUAUUCAUGUGGUACACUGAAAACCUUACUUAAGUUACGCUUGUAGACUUCCAAUCAGUAAAUAACGCUAUGACCCAAAAAAAAACCCUAAUGUACAAGCUCUUUAGUAGAGUUAUUGUUGCAUUUCAGCAGUUUUACCCAAGUAUACAGUGUUUGAAAGGCAAAGUUCAGAUUAUCAGUGAGAAAAAUGGUUUCGGCUUCCAAAUUGUAUUUACAGUAUAGGAGUUGAAGGGUUUUGUUUUGUGUGUUUUUGUUUGUUUUAAUGCAGAUGACCAACAGAAAUUUGCAGAACCACAUGUCUUUCAAAGGCUUCUGAAUACUAGGAUCCAGGCUCUUACAUAGUGUAUAGAACCUCUAUGUAGAUUUUUUACUUAGCAAUCUAGGAAAAAUAUAAUUUGGAUCAAAUUCUGCCUUACAUUAUGCCAUUGUGUUGCUUUGGACUUCAGUGAGAAUGGAGUUCCAUCUUAUUCAUAUUAGUCUGUUAUAAAGCACAUUCUAGCCCCAAAACUGUACCUAAUUAAAAUAAUUGAUCUUUUUGUUGAUGUCUGUCUUAAAUUGCUGGAUUUUGCUUCAGGCCUGACACCUAGCAGAGUCCCUCUGGGAAACAAAAAACAGUAUCUCCUUAAAACUUUGUAAGGAAACUUACUCAGACAGAAGAUGUGUUUAUCUCUUAACUAAGUACCCUCCAAACUAUUCCAAAUAUAUAAAAUACACUUAAAAUGAAUUUCUAGAAAUUAUAUAAAACACACAUAACAAAACAAUACCUCUCUAAACAAGCUUUUUGAGUUGUUAGCACAUGUACAUUAACUGUCCAAGGCAUUUGAUUUUUUCCCCUAAUAGCCCAUUGGAAAUGGUUACUCUGUGACAUGAACUUGCACCCACAUGAUUCUAUUUUGUAUUCUUUUGUUUGUCUUUGUCACAAGCAACAAGGCAUGUAGCUCUCUCGAAAUCAAUAAAGGCAUGAACUCAUUUGGACUCUUUUAGGAC